UCUGACCAAUGAUGACACCAUAUUACAAUAACGACUGCUGGAUGAAGUUUGCGGAUAUGGGACUGAGAUCGGCU